CGAAUAAAUGCUAAUGUCUGAUAAUGCCAAAAAUGGAAAAUAACCUAAGAAUUGAUGUUGUUUCCAGAAAAAGCUUAGUGAUCAGGAAGAGGAAAGAGAAAUGGACUCGCAACUCGAAGAGGAAGACAGCGUGUUAAAGCGAAUUAUGAGGCAAUUAGGAGAGCAAGAAGAGAAAAUGAAAUACGUUUUUUCUUCGAUGGGAGAUUUACAUUUGAGUGAAAUUGAGGCAAGUGAUUCAUCGACUCAGAUAGUUUCUAUGAAUACCUAUGUUUCUAUGAAUGUAUAUGUAUAAAUAUAUACAAAAAACAACCCUCCCUGACCAGGACUCGAACCUAGGUCACUCCAGGUCAGAACCGGAGGACCAGUGCUAAA